GUGCUCAGGCCCUGAGUUCAAGCCCCAGGACUGGCAAAAAAAAUUUCAAUCCAAUUCAAAUCAAUUCUGCAGAUACUGUUAUUAUUUUUCACUGAGAAACAUCUCAUGGUAUUUAGUACAAAGAACACUUUAACCAUGCAAUUCUGAGAACCACAGGAGCCUAAUUUUUCAUUUAAAACUGUCAGUUUCCCAUGUUGGAAUACUCUGAGACACAUAAAGAGGAAGAGUAUGUGUAAAAGAAAAGACUUAGCAAUCUACUGCUAAAGUUGGAACUCAUGAUACAUGUAAUAGCAAAAUCUUAAAGAACUCAAAUUUCCUAUUAAUUGAAACUGAUUGUAAGAAACAGCUGACACGUGCUUUGAUUUGUAUACUUUUAAAAAUUAGUAAGGAAAAUAUACUUACCAUAUGUUCUGGUCUUUAUAUUAAUGGUCCAGAAUGUUGUUUGCCUAGCAGUAGCUUCUCAAAGUGUUGCUCAAAAUGUGGUACUCAGGUGAGCUGUAUUAGAAUGGCUUGGGGAACUUAGUCAAGAUCCCUUUACUAUCAGAAUGUCUGCAGAGGUCCAGGCUACAGACAGGCAUGGUGAAGAGUGCCCGGUGAGGUUAUUUGCAGAAACACUGAUUUACAGCAUAAACUUAGGAACAAUUUAAUUGCCUUGCAUUUAUGAUACAAAUAUUAAGUGCCUUUGAGUGAAGAAAAGAAUCCUAGAAAUCAUUUUUCACUCAAUUUCUGUUAGCCUUACAGAUAGGAUACUGGAUGGAUCAUUUCCUAUUCCAGACUAGUCUCUGAUCCCCUAUCAUGUGCAUUACAGUUCAAAACUUUGUAUUU